UACGGGGGGAGCAAGCGUUGUUCGGAUUUACUGGGCGUAAAGGGCGCGUAGGCGGCGUGGCAAGUCACUUGUGAAAUCUCCGGGCUUAACUCGGAACGGUCAAGUGAUACUGUCGUGCUAGAGUACAGAAGGGGCAACUGGAAUUCUCGGUGUAGCGGUGAAAUGCGUAGAUAUCGAGAGGAACACCUGCGGCGAAGGCGGGUUGCUGGGCUGAUACUGACGCUGAGGCGCGAAAGCGUGGGGAGCGAACAGG
rnacentral:rRNA from 1 species